UACUGGCGUUAUUGGUUCCUCCCUUCUGAAGAACCGCGAUGUCAUUAAUUUGGUGUCGCGGGAAAUCAGGACUGUUACUUUGAAAAAAUUAGAGUGUUUAAAGCAGGCUCGCGCUUGAAUACAUUAGCAUGGAAUAAUGAAAUAGGACGUUUGAUUCUAUUUUGUUGGUUUCUAGGAUCGACGUAAUGAUUAAUAGGGAUAGUUGGGA
rnacentral:rRNA from 1 species